AUUCAGUGGAAGCGGCGCUGUGGUGGCGGCCGCGCGCAAUUGGGCGUGCGCCUACGAUGCUGAUGCACGUGCCCGCCUGUGUGUCAGUAGGCUGCCGCUGCUGGAAGAGGAGGAAAGGAAGAGCAGAGAGGGAAGAAAGCAGAGACAAGUGCAAGAGAGGCUCGGAGGUGGACGGGACUUGACGUAAAUAAACACGGGAGACAGCUACUACAGUUCUGUCGCAGGACGCUGCAAACAGAGGGUCUUCAGUUCGAGGCUUCAGAGAGACCCACACACAAGUGUUGAACGUGCAGCAGCGUGUGUCUUCAGACCUCAGUGAGGUACAGAGCUGAGCCAAGGGGACUGAACUGCUGCGUCCGGGGGGGGUGGGGGCCUAAAC
ensembl:lncRNA